rnacentral:rRNA from 1 species
UACGGGGGGGCAAGCGUUGUUCGGAAUUACUGGCGUAAAGGGCUCGUAGGCGGCCAACUAAGUCAGACGUGAAAUCCCUCGGCUUAACCGGGGAACUGCGUCUGAUACUGGAUGGCUUGAGUUUGGGAGAGGGAUGCGGAAUUCCAGGUGUAGCGGUGAAAUGCGUAGAUAUCGGGAGGAACACCGAUGGCGAAGGCAGGUCUCUGGGACGGUACUGACGCUGAGACGCGAAAGCGUGGGGAGCGAACAGG